rnacentral:rRNA from 1 species
GACGAACCGUGCGAACGUUAUUCGGAAUCACUGGGCUUAAAGCGCGUGUAGGCGGGCGGGCACGUCCGUUGCUGAAAUCCCCCGGCUCAACCGGGGAACGGGCGCGGAUACGACUCUCCUUGAGGGGCGUAGGGGGACCUGGAACUUCCGGUGGAGCGGUGAAAUGCGUUGAGAUCGGAAGGAACACCCGUGGCUAAGGCGGCUCUCUAGUACGGUACUGACGCUGAGACGCGAAAGCGUGGGGAGCGAACAGG